CGUAGGCAGCAAGCGUUGUUCGGAAUUACUGGGCGUAAAGAGUGUGUAGGCGGUGCUCCAAGUCUGGUGUGAAAUCUCCCGGCUUAACUGGGAGGUGCAUUAGAAACUGGAAUGCUAGAGGAUGGGAGAGGUAAGCGGAAUUCCUGGUGUAGCGGUGAAAUGCGUAGAUAUCAGGAGGAACACCUGUGGUGUAGACAGCUUACUGGACCAUUUCUGACGCUGAGACACGAAAGCGUGGGUAGCAAACAGGAUUAGAUACCCUGGUAGUCCACGCCCUAAACGAUGAUUACUCGACAUUUGAGAUACACUUUAAGUGUCUGAGCGAAAGCAUUAAGUAAUCCACCUGGGAAGUACGACCGCAAGGUUG
rnacentral:rRNA from 1 species